rnacentral:rRNA from 1 species
UUUUAUGGAGAGUUUGAUCCUGGCUCAGGAUGAACGCUGGCGGCGUGCCUAAUACAUGCAAGUCGAGCGAACGGACGAGAAGCUUGCUUCUCUGAUGUUAGCGGCGGACGGGUGAGUAACACGUGGAUAACCUACCUAUAAGACUGGGAUAACUUCGGGAAACCGGAGCUAAUACCGGAUAAUAUUUUGAACCGCAUGGUUCAAAAGUGAAAGACGGUCUUGCUGUCACUUAUAGAUGGAUCCGCGCUGCAUUAGCUAGUUGGUAAGGUAACGGCUUACCAAGGCAACGAUGCAUAGCCGACCUGAGAGGGUGAUCGGCCACACUGGAACUGAGACACGGUCCAGACUCCUACGGGAGGCAGCAGUAGGGAAUCUUCCGCAAUGGGCGAAAGCCUGACGGAGCAACGCCGCGUGAGUGAUGAAGGUCUUCGGAUCGUAAAACUCUGUUAUUAGGGAAGAACAUAUGUGUAAGUAACUGUGCACAUCUUGACGGUACCUAAUCAGAAAGCCACGGCUAACUACGUGCCAGCAGCCGCGGUAAUACGUAGGUGGCAAGCGUUAUCCGGAAUUAUUGGGCGUAAAGCGCGCGUAGGCGGUUUUUUAAGUCUGAUGUGAAAGCCCACGGCUCAACCGUGGAGGGUCAUUGGAAACUGGAAAACUUGAGUGCAGAAGAGGAAAGUGGAAU